rnacentral:other from 1 species
GUUACAAUUAACAAGAAUCCCUAUUAGGGANCUAUUAGGGAUUGAAAC